AUUGAACGCUGGCGGCAUGCUUUACACAUGCAAGUCGAACGGUAACAGGCCUUCGGGUGCUUCCGACUGGCGGACGGGGGAGUAAUGCAUCGUAACGUACCCAGCGGUGGGGGAUAACGCAGCGAAAGCUGUGCUAAUACCUCAUCUGAUCUGAUGCUUAAAGCGGUGUUCCGGGCAUCAAUGUUUCGCCUCGCUCCUUUGUAGCCGCCGGUGUCGGUUUAGCUAUUUUGUGGGGUAAGGUCCUACCAACGCGACGAUACGUAGCUGGUCUGAGAGGACGACAAGCCACACUGGGAGUGAGACAAGGCCCGGACUCGUACGGGAGGCAGCAGAGGGGAAAGGUGGACAAUGGGAGGAAGCAUGAUCCAGUAAAGCCGCGUGGGGGAAGAAGGCAUGCGGGUUGUAAAUCGAAUUUGGCAGGAAGGAAACGGUGUAAGCUAAUACCGGGCGCUAAUGACGGUACCUGCAGAAUAAGCACCGGCUAACUACGUG
rnacentral:rRNA from 1 species